GCGGGCGUCUUCUAAUGGUAAGAAAGUGGCUUCCCAAGCCACGAACACGGGUUCGAUUCCCGUCGCCCGCUCCA
rnacentral:tRNA from 1 species